GGGCCGGUGGCGAAGUCUGGAAUCGCACUCCCUUGGCAUGGGAGGGGGCGCGGGACGAUGUCAGAAAUCAGAAAUUUCUGCGUCGCGCGAAUUCGAAUCCCGCCCGGUCCA
rnacentral:tRNA from 1 species